GAUGAACGCUGGCGGCGUGCUUAACACAUGCAAGUCGAACGGAAAGGCCCAAACUUGCUUGGUUUCUCGAUAGGCGAACGGGGGAGUAACACGUGUGGGAUAUGUCCUUCACUUCGGGAUAAGACUGGGAAACUGGGGCUCAUAUCGGGGAGGACGAUUUGUUGGAUGUGAUUGAGGAGAGAUAUAUCGGUGUGUGAUGAGCUCGGGGCCGAUCAGCGUGUUGUUGGGGAAAUGGCAUACCAAGGCGUCGACGGGUAGCCGGCCUGAGAGAGUGUACGGCCAGUUUAGAACUGAGAGGCGGGCAAGACUCGGACGGGAGGCAGCAAUGGGGAAUAUUGCACAAUGGGAGCCCGCGUGAUGCAGCGACGCCGCGUGGUGGAUGACGGCUGUCGGGUUGUAAGAACAUAUCGCUAAGGAACAAGCCACUUUGUGACGGUACCUGAAGAAGAAGCCACGGCUAACUACGUG
rnacentral:rRNA from 1 species